CGAAUUCAAGCGGAAUAGGUCUACCUCAUGUGAGAGCAUAAGAAAGUAAGUCUCAGGUUUGGAACAAGAUGAAGGUCCACUUAUGUUACUGUGGUGCAUCAAGCAUGUGUGUUUCAUCUGGACUCUGAACUGGGACAAGCUCUCUCUGUCCCACGAUGCAUGAUUGAUUCAUACCCUGAAGUGUUUGGGAGCCUGGACAACAAACCAUAUGUUCUACGCAAAUGCAACAAAUCCUAGCUCAAAUUAAAGUAGUUCUUGAUCAAAAACAUAAAGCCCCUAAGUAUCCUGGACAAAACAAUCCUUCGCCCUAAUGAAUCUUUUGGCAAGCAGGACCUGACCCAAAAAAUCUACUCACAAGUAAUCAUGGUCCUCAUGACUCCAUUUGGAUUUUGCAUCAUCUUAUUGUAAC